rnacentral:tRNA from 1 species
GGGCCGAUGGUUCAGCGGUAUGAACGCCUGACUUGCACUCAGGAAGUCGUGGGUUCAAAUCCCACUCGGUCCA